CCUAAAACUCUCAUAACGUCAGACGACAUGGAGUGACAAAUUUAUUUUAAUUUUUAAUUUUUACUACAAUUAAAUGUGUUAAGUGCCAGUUUUUCCCCAAAUAGGGGAACAAGUCUGGGGUCGUUAACUGGACCCACAAUUUGGAUGCGCGCGCGCCUGCACACGUUCCGGAAGGUUCCGGAAGGAAGACUGGCGGUCCGGAACGGCCUCUGAUGACGGCCACGCCCAGUACGACUUCGGCGGCGUAGUGCAGGGAAGUGACCCCUAACAAGGGCUUGUUUCUUCUUUUAUUGUAACCGGCCAGCUCAGGAAAUACCUACCCACGAUCCUGGAUAAUUAGAUAGGUUUUUUUCAUUUAAAAUAUAGUUUGUAAAAUUUUUC